GUCGAGGGGCAGCGAGUAAAUUGCUUGCAAUUUAUGUCGGCGACCGGCGGACGGGUGCGUAACGCGUAUGCAACCUACCCAUUACAGGGGGGAUAACACUGAGAAAUCGGUACUAAUACCCCAUAACAUCAGAGGAGGCAUCUCCUUUGGUUGAAAACUCCGGUGGUAAUGGAUGGGCAUGCGUUGUAUUAGUUAGUUGGUAAGGUAACGGCUUACCAAGACUACGAUACAUAGGGGGACUGAGAGGUUAACCCCCCACAUUGGUACUGAGACACGGACCAAACUCCUACGGGAGGCAGCAGUGAGGAAUAUUGGUCAAUGGACGCAAGUCUGAACCAGCCAUGCCGCGUGCAGGAAGACGGCUCUAUGAGUUGUAAACUGCUUUUGUACGAGGGUAAACGCAGAUACGUGUAUCUGUCUGAAAGUAUCGUACGAAUAAGGAUCGGCUAACUCCGUGCCAGCAGCCGCGGUAAUACGGAGGAUUCAAGCGUUAUCCGGAUUUAUUGGGUUUAAAGGGUGCGUAGGCGGUUGGAUAAGUUAGAGGUGAAAUCCCGGGGCUCAACUCCGGAAUUGCCUCUGAUACUGUUCGGCUAGAGAUCAGUUGCGGUAGGCGGAAUGUAUGGUGUAGCGGUGAAAUGCUUAGAGAUCAUACAGAACACCGAUUGCGAAGGCAGCUUACCAAGCUGAAUCUGACGUUGAGGCACGAAAGCGUGGGUAGCAAACAGGAUUAGAUACCCUGGUAGUCCACGCAGUAAACGAUGAUAACUCGUUGUCGGCGAUACAGUGUCGGUGACUAAGCGAAAGCGAUAAGUUAUCCACCUGGGGAGUA
rnacentral:rRNA from 1 species